rfam:Vitis vinifera, whole genome shotgun sequence of line PN40024, unordered unoriented chromosome 10, chr10_random
ACAUUCAUGGUUGAAUGAUUAAAGUGCCCAACUUAUAAUUGGGGAAUUCCUAGGUUCAAUUCCUACUAGAUGCA